rnacentral:rRNA from 1 species
CGUAGCCGGCCUGAGAGGGUGAACGGCCACAUUGGGACUGAGACACGGCCCAAACUCCUACGGAAGGCAGCAG